UUCCCUACGGGGGGCAGCAGUGAGGAAUAUUGGUCAAUGGCCGGAAGGCUGAACCAGCCAAGCCGCGUGAAGGACGAAGGUGCCAAGCAUUGUAAACUUCUUUUGUCAAGGGACAAAAUCAGGCUCGAGAGCCUGACCGAGGGUACUUGAAGAAAAAGCAUCGGCUAACUCCGUGCCAGCAGCCGCGGUGAUACGUAGGUGGCAAGCGUUGUUCGGAAUAACUGGGCGUAAAGGAUGCGUAGGCGGUUAAACAAGUUAUAUGUUAAAUA
rnacentral:rRNA from 1 species